CUUUCCUGAAAAUAAUGUUAUUGUAUCUUCACAUGCAAAUGUUCCUGCCAAUUCCAUAACAGCAGCAUUACAUUGGGCGCCUGAGAUGGAAAUCCAACUCUCGAUAACCAUUUUUCAUGUACUGCACACACAAAUUACGGUACCUCACCCAACAAAAUAAGCAUUUUAUGUUGUUGACUGUUUAGAGUAUGACAAGGAAUGCCUCAACAGUAGUUAAAUAGCAUUAAUAUAAGAAUAUACUAUUCAGAAAUUGGAAAAAGAAAAACAGACGGCUAAACUGUUCAUCUACAACAGCUAUUAUGUAUUUCGGUACGAAGUAAGAAACUAAGAUGCUCUAGCUUAGCGGCACAGGGAUGUGAGAUGGGAAUAGAAAAGGAUGAAUCCAACGCAGUUUAGAAAUAUGUUUUCCAAAUUUUGCUAUCCGAGUGCACUUCAGGACCCAUUGCAUUUACGUGGCUGUUGACAAUUUUGAAUCAAACACAGCAACGGAGUACUUUCAAUUUUCAGAUAUCCAAUUCCAUCAUCCCCUCCCAAUCAAUUCCAAUUUCGAACCAUCUAUUAGAGACAUAAUCUAAUAGCCAUAAAUAUAGCCCUCCAAUUCGAUACACAACAGAUGCGAGGAAGCGACUGUUUGCAAAUAUCCUUAUUAAUGUGUUCACAUAACAUGCACGGAGAAUCCCCUGAUAAAUCUGAACAGAAUUUCCCUUAACUGCAAUUUCUCCAUCCUCGUUUCCUAAUAACUUUACUAAAAACUUAUCCUGCAUGUAGAUACCAGAAAUUCAAUAAAUCAAAAUUAUAAAUGAAUAAGGUGUUUAAGUGAAACAUGCAGACAGCUUCAAAUAAUGAGACAAGCUAUUUCCAUAAAAAUCAAGAAUUGUAUUAUUAGAACACAAUUAGAAGAACCACCAAUGUCAAAAUUCCCAAGGACAUAAAAUUGUUUAUCAGAAACUCAUUAGUAUGUCCAAAGAAAAACAUCACCUCGAACCAAACACGGACGCCUUAAAAAGCAAUAUCGCUCAAAUAUACCAAUGUUGAUUGUUCAAUGUUGCGACCAAAAUUCUCAAUUCCAAAAGAAAAUUUCUUACAGUUCAACCCUUUCAGCUGAGAAGAAAGCACUUCCUUGUACCAUUUCACUCAUUAUUAAAAGAAUAUAAGGAUUUAACUCAUUGCUGCCAUGCACGCAAAAAAAUAUCAGUCCUUAUUACUUCCCUCGUACUUUAUCAGCCUGUUUGCUCUUUUCUGAUCCAGCAUCAGCAUUAGCAUUCUGAUCCUUUUUCUCAUCUCCUUCUACUGCACCUCCAUUGGAGCAGUGAUUUUUCAAAACCAUUGAAAUGUCAGCCUCAGAUGCUCCAGCAAGCCUAAAUCGUUCAACUGCGGUAUCAAGGUUUUUCUUCCAACCAUCCAUCCCCAACUUGCAUUCAACUUGGGAUCGCUCGAAAAGCAUAUUACCCCAGAAGAGAUGUAUCUGUGAUCGCAUCACUGCUGCUUGUUCAGCUGCUUCUUCCAGUGAAAUCUCACCCUGAACACCACUGCCAGAUGAAUCACCUUCAACACUUCCUUGUUUCUUCCUUCUUGUCAACAAUUCUUCCUUCUUGCUUGCAUUUGGAUCUUUUAGCUCAUUUGCUCUCAGUUCCUCCAGCUUCUCCCACAUCUCAGUUGCUGCUUUCAUCUUCUCCUCUGCACUGUCAAAAAGUUUAAGAGUUUCUGUAGAGUCCCAGCUAGAGAGAUCUAUUUUCUUAGCAAGCGCAAAUGACCAAUGAAGUUUGGCCAUUUCAAAUUGCUGCUGACCCAGUGCUAGCAACCCCUCAUAGAAAUCAGGUUUGAUCAAGAGUGCCUCCUCAUACUUCUCUCUGGCCAAAGAAUAUUUCCCCUUCACCCAGUCAUAAGCCACUUGAAGUUGUGCUGACACUACCUCCCUUCCAGCAGACUCAUCUAAGGGAAUCCUUUUCCUUGCUGCACACAUGUGAACGUUUCCCCAGUUGAAGAAAGCUAGAGCAGCCACCUCCUGGAACUUUAAGGCAGCCUUGUCAAAGAGGUUUUGAGCUUCCUCACUUGUCACUGUCUCCUCAAGUGCCUCAGAACAAAGCUCCAUCCCAAGCUCAUGCAAGUCAAUAUGAGCAUCCGGGUCAACACCAACAUGGGUCCGAAAAAGCUGAGCAAAUUCAAACAACCAAUCAUCCAUCUCUGCGUCCUUGCUCUCUGGAUCUUCUGAAGCUCUUGUUUUCUCUUUUGAAGCUUCUUUCUCUACCUUAUCAAUUUCACUAUCAGCUGCUUCCAUCACAGAUUCACCAAGUGACGAAUGAGACACACUUUCCUCUCCCUUGUUCCCUUCAGUCUCAAGAGGUUUCUCCUCCUCUUCUUCCAGCAAAGGAGGCUCCUGCUCGGGACUCACCUCAACGACAUGUAAUCUUAACAUGCCGAUUGUAUCAGUAGGCUCCUUGUGCAACAAGUUGUCUGCAGAGGACUCUGCCAAUCUGAGUUCAGCUGUACAUGUUAUAGUCACCAAAUCACCAUCAUUAUCUUUAUACUUGAUCAAAACUGACUUUGAAGAUGGAAAACGUUCGCUCACAAUCUCCCUUAGCACUUUAAAAGUACAAUUCAUUGGCAUCUGUCCCAGCCUUAUGUCAUGAUCAUAAACAAGUUUCAAUGGUCUCCAUCGAACUGCCACCUCCAGAACAUUACCACGAAUGGGCAAUGAGACUGAUGAAGAUUCUUCUCCUUGGCUAUCCUUGGCCAGAUUUGUGGCCAGUUUGGAAGAACCACUUGAAGGCUUCAACCCAAGUUUUGACAACUGGGUUUUGGUCUCAGGAUCAUUUUCACCGACCACAUUCACUUGAGGCUUUUCCAGCUUAUUAGUGGCUGACACAGCCAAUAACCCAGGUGGAGUUGCUGCCUUCUUGGAGACCGGCCGGGCUGGUAAACAAGGCCCAAGGCCAGCAAUUGGUGCACCACGGACUGCAGAUGCCCCUAGUGCAGCAGGAGAAGGGCGGCUUUGGAGGUCCUGCUGAGCCUCUUGGCGAGGACCGAAUGCAGUUCUCAAUCUCCGGGCAAUCUCCAAAGCAUCUCGGUGUUCUGGUUCAGCUCCUAACAAUACCUGAACAUCCUGCAUCGCCAUGUCAUACUUCCCAAUCGCUUCAAAAGCACGAGCCCUCCUAAGGAGAGCCCUUACGAACCGAGGCUGUACUUGGAGUGCCAAAGUACACUCAGAAAUAACAGUCUCAUAAUCAAUAGGUUUCAUUUGCAUUAAGCACGCAGCCCUGUUGCUGUGGAAGACAGCACGAUCAGGAUGGGUUUUGGGAGUUAAUCGAAGAGCAUUAUCAUACUGUUCAAGAGCACCCGCAUAAUCCUUGUUUUGGAACCUCCUGUUCCCUUCUUCCUUGAGCUCAUGGGCUCUUUUCAAAAAUAUUGAGGAGUCAAAAUCGACACCGCCAUUAGCAUUUGGAAGCGUCGUUGGAUUUGAAAUAUUACCACUAUCAACACUUGAUACUUGGUUUGAAACACCACUACCCUUCUUUCUUCUACCUCCUGAUUUCCCCAUGAAAUUAGCUCACUCUGAUGUCACGCACGCUCACAGACACCCACUAGAUAAAUAUCUACGCUUGUAUUCAAUAAAAAAAUAAAAUAAAAUUGAAGCAGCAAUCUUUGGAGGUGUUCCAGAGAAGAAUUUGAGUUCUAAUAACAAACAGGAAGACAGAGAGAAAGCAAAGAGUACUUACAAAACCAUCAUUGACAAAGCCAAACUGAAAGAUGAAGCCUUUCUAGCUUGUAACCUAUCAAAAGCUGAAAUUGAGAAGGAAAAGGAUAAACGUUAAGAGUUGAGUGUAGGGAGAGAAAAGAAUGACAUGGGUUUUUCGAAACCUGAAACCCUAGAUGGUGGGAGAGAGGUUCAUCAAGGC
rnacentral:misc_RNA from 1 species